UUGUGUACAAUGAAUAUUCCUUGGUUUCUCUUUGCUAUAAGUAUAAAACAUGUACAUACAAAAAUUACAUGUCAGAUAUUAUGCAUAUCUUUUCUUUAAUGUUUCAGUAUUAAAAAGGAUCCUGAGUUCAACCACACAAGACGGGUAUUAGAAGCGAAGCGAAAGGCAUUAAAGUCAUUGGGCAAGGGCAGUAAGCCAAACAGAGCUGAACCUUUGACGACUGAGGAAAUCCAAAUCUUGAGGGAGAAAGGCGUUAUUGGAACACAAAACCCUGAUGCAUUACUGAAUGCUGUGUUUUUAAAUAAUGCAACAUACUUUGGUCUACGAGGUCGACAAGACCAUGUUAACAUGACAUGGGGAGAUGUCAAGUUAAAAGCUACAUCUGAUGGAAAGGAGUAUUUGGAAUUUAAUGAAAGAAGCACCAAAACCCGUAGUGGAGCAAAAAGCAGGGAUUUCCGGGAUA